GUGGGGAAUAUUGCACAAUGGGCGCAAGCCUGAUGCAGCAACGCCGCGUGCGGGAUGACGGCCUUCGGGUUGUAAACCGCUUUCAGUUCCGACGAAGCGCAAGUGACGGUAGGAACAGAAGAAGGACCGGCCAACUACGUGCCAGCAGCCGCGGUGAUACGUAGGGUCCGAGCGUUGUCCGGAAUUAUUGGGCGUAAAGGGCUUGUAGGCGGUUUGUCACGUCGGAAGUGAAAACUCAGGGCUUAACCCUGAGCCUGCUUCCGAUACGGGCAAACUAGAGGAAUGCAGGGGAGAAUGGAAUUCCUGGUGGAGCGGUGGAAUGCGCAGAUAUCAGGAGGAACACCGGUGGCGAAGGCGGUUCUCUGGGCAUUUCCUGACGCUGAGAAGCGAAAGCGUGGGGAGCAAACAGG
rnacentral:rRNA from 1 species